AUGUUUAAGGAGGAAAGUUUUACUCACAAGUUGACCGCUUUAUUCAGUAAGCAUUUUUUUUUUUUUUUUUUUUUUUUUUUUUUUUUUUUUUUUUUUUUUUUUUUUUUUUUUUUUUUUUUUUUUUUUUUUUUUUUUUUUUUUUUUUUUUUUUUUUUUUUUUUUUUUUUUUUUUUUUUUUUUUUUUUUUUUUUUUUUUUUUUUUUUUUUUUUUUUUUUUUUUUUUUUUUUUUUUUUUUUUUUUUUUUUUUUUUUUUUUUUUUUUUUUUUUUUUUUUUUUUUUUUUUUUUUUUUUUUUUUUUUUUUUUUUUUUUUUUUUUUUUUUUUUUUUUUUUUUUUUUUUUUUUUUUUUUUUUUUUUUUUUUUUUUUUUUUUUUUUUUUUUUUUUUUUUUUUUUUUUUUUUUUUUUUUUUUUUUUUUUUUUUUUUUUUUUUUUUUUUUUUUUUUUUUUUUUUUUUUUUUUUUUUUUUUUUUUUUUUUUUUUUUUUUUUUUUUUUUUUUUUUUUUUUUUUUUUUUUUUUUUUUUUUUUUUUUUUUUUUUUUUUUUUUUUUUUUUUUUUUUUUUUUUUUUUUUUUUUUUUUUUUUUUUUUUUUUUUUUUUUUUUUUUUUUUUUUUUUUUUUUUUUUUUUUUUUUUUUUUUUUUUUUUUUUUUUUUUUUUUUUUUUUUUUUUUUUUUUUUUUUUUUUUUUUUUUUUUUUUUUUUUUUUUUUUUUUUUUUUUUUUUUUUUUUUUUUUUUUUUUUUUUUUUUUUUUUUUUUUUUUUUUUUUUUUUUUUUUUUUUUUUUUUUUUUUUUUUUUUUUUUUUUUUUUUUUUUUUUUUUUUUUUUUUUUUUUUUUUUUUUUUUUUUUUUUUUUUUUUUUUUUUUUUUUUUUUUUUUUUUUUUUUUUUUUUUUUUUUUUUUUUUUUUUUUUUUUUUUUUUUUUUUUUUUUUUUUUUUUUUUUUUUUUUAACAAAAUAUAUAUAUAUAUAUAUAUAUAUAUAUAUAUAUAUAUAUAUAUACAUACACCUGUAUAGACAAAUGCAACAAUUUACCUGA
rnacentral:lncRNA from 12 species